UACGUAGGGUGCAAGCGUUAAUCGGAAUUACUGGGCGUAAAGCGUGCGCAGGCGGUUUUGUAAGUCUGUCGUGAAAUCCCCCGGGCUCAACCUGGGAAUUGCGAUGGAGACUGCAAGGCUAGAAUCUGGCAGAGGGGGGUGAGAAUUCCACGUGUGAGCAGUGAAAUGCGUAGAGAUAGUGGGAGGAACACCGAUGGCGAAGGCAGCCCCCUGGGGAUCGAA
rnacentral:rRNA from 1 species